rnacentral:rRNA from 1 species
AAUCAACGCUGGCGGCGUGCCUAACACAUGCAAGUCGAACGAGAAAGUGGGGGCAACCCUGCGAGUACAGUGGCAGACGGGUGAGUAACACGUGAACAACCUACCCUUGAGUGGGGAAUAACACCGCGAAAGCGGAGCUAAUACCGCAUAACAUCUUGAGCUCGCAUGGGCGAGAGAUCAAAGCCGAAAGGCGCUUGAGGAGGGGUUCGCGGCUGAUUAGCUAGUUGGUGAGGUAACGGCUCACCAAGGCGACGAUCAGUAGCCGGCCUGAGAGGGCGAACGGCCACACUGGAACUGAGACACGGUCCAGACUCCUACGGGAGGCAGCAGUCGAGAAUAGUCUACAAUGGCCGGAAGGCUGAUAGUGCGACGCCGCGUGAACGAGGGAGCCCUUCGGGUGUAAAGUUCUUUCUUAUACGAGCAGUGCUAUAUAUAUGGAUAGUAUAUAUAGAGGGAUAGUAGUAUAGGAAUAAGCAACGGCUAACUCCG